ensembl:lncRNA novel transcript, antisense to TNRC6A
CAAAAGAGCCCCAACUCAGGAGCUGCCAAAGGAGAUCUUCACGGGGUGCCUGCCUCUCUGUGCUGAGCAUUGGCUGCUGGGCACCUGGCAUGUGCUGUCUGUGGUCCUGACACAGUCUACUGAAGACAGAGUGGACAGUCUCGCUUUGUGGCCCAGGCUGGAGUGCAGUGGUGGGAUCUCGGCUCACUGCAACCUCCACCUCCUAGAUUCAAGCAAUUCUCAUGCCUCAGCCUCUCGAGUAGCUGGGAUUACAGGAGUGUACCACUACACCUGACUAUUUUUUGUAUUAUUAGUAGAGAUGUAGGUUUCUCCAUGUUGGCCCGGCUGGUCUUGAACUCCUGACCUCAAGUGAUCCGGCCGCUUCGGCCUCCCAAUGUGCUAGGAUUACAGGUAUGAGCCACCAGGCCCGGCCUCGUUUUAAAAGGACUCUUAGGUUACAUAACUUAAGGCACCUUUAGCCAUCUCUAAUCUGCUGAGUUUUAUAAUACAGGUAAGUUUCCAUUAACAAGUAAUAAAAACAAUCAACACCCACUGUGAUAAACCACCAUUUAAUAAAUGCCUGGUUUAUGUCAGUCGCCA